rnacentral:tRNA from 1 species
AUAGCUCAGGGGUAGAGCACGUGCUUAGCAUGCAUGAGGUCCUGGGUUCAAUCCCCAGU